AGGGAUAUAACUCAGCGGCAGAGUGCCACCUUGACAUGGUGGAAGCCAUCAGUUCAAGUCUGAUUAUCCCUA
rnacentral:tRNA from 1 species